AUUUCUUCUUUAAGCCCUGUCAUCCGAAGACAUCUCCUCCAGCACCGUGGUAAUACAGGGCUCCCUGUGCUGCUGCUCUGGGUAUGCUACCAGCUGUGAUUCACUCUGCUCCUGAGUCAUGUGUGAAGGCCAGUUCAGCAGUGAAUGGCCAUUCUAAGGCUGUCAGAGCAUCUUACCAGAGGAAAAAACAUUGCAUGCAAAGCUUGAAGCAGCAGUCAGAGAUUUUGCCAUCCCACUUUUACAGCCACAUUGGGAAAGGAGGAUUCCUCCCCCCUGAAAUUGGGAGCUGAUUCAUGGAUGGAGCUGCACGCUGGAAAGCAAGAGAGAUGCAUCUCACCAAUGGGCUUGGGACACACAGAUCCAGCUCUGGUUAGCUCCAGCUGAACUGCAGAUGGCAGAGUUUCCCUGGGCAGCCCCUGUGAAAUACACCCAGCAGAACAUGUGCUCCCCAAACAGAGAUGUUUCACUGCUCAGCCUCAGCCUGGCAGCAAUCAGAUGGGAGCUCAGAAAUGCAUCCCCCAGGAAACAAGAGCUGCUCCCUGCUGCUGGAGGCAUGUCCAGGCAGGACAUCCUACCACAUGGUAAAUCGUGCUGUCUUUCCUUCUCAAUUCCAGCUGGAUCUUUUUAGAAGUGCCACCAGUGUGGGGAACACUUUUCUAGCAUCUUUGAGAGAUUUUUCUUGCCAGGCUGCACAGGAAUAGGACAUAGGUGGUCUCACAAUCAAACCCUGUGGCCUUGGGAAAGCUCAAAGAAGACACUUGGCCCCCACAGAACAAUCUCUGAGUAGAGGGAUAGAGACACUGGCCAUGGUGAAGAGGUGACUAACAUAAGGAUGGUGACUGCAAAACCCCAGAAGGUUCCUUUUCAUGCCAAUUUUCUACAUGGCUUGAUGUAUAUAUCUAGGGUCAGGAUGCAGGUAGGUGGCUGAGAUAUGUUUAGGACUCAGCAUGAUGUAUAUGGAAACCAGUUCCCCACUGGUUAGAGUUGGCUCUUGUGCCCAGUAAUCCUCUCCUUUUCCAGAGAACCACAAAUAUGCUCAGGAGUGCUCCUCUCCAGCAAGGGUGUGCUUGAUUCUGUGUCUCUCCUGACAACACUGGCACUGGUCAUUGUGAGAUAACUUUUUACUUCUUGGAGACACUUUCAGCAUCUUUUGCCAGGAAGCAAAGUGGAGAUAAGAUCUGAUUUGUGUUCUUUUUCCUCCUCAGAUUUGCCUUCACUACUCUUGGGAAGAAUUUGUCUGACCUUGGUGUUUUAAUUUUGCUUAUCUUUUUUGAUCCCUUCAGUGUCUUUGACCUGAAAUGCCUGGUUACAGAAUAACUAAACAUUCAGGGUUGGAGAUUUUUUUCUUUCCAUGUACAAAAGCAGAGUUCAAAUACAGCAGG